AGUGGGAUAGCUGGGUCAAAUGGUGGUUCCAUUCCCAUUUUGCUGAGGAAUCUCCACACUGCUUCCCAAUGUGGUUGCACCAAUUUUCAGUCCCACCAGCAAU
rnacentral:pre_miRNA from 1 species